AUUGAACGCUGGCGGUAUGCUUAACACAUGCAAGUCGAACGGUAGCAGGCCUUCGGGCGCUGACGAGUGGCGGACGGGUGAGUAAUGCAUAGGAAUCUGCCUAUUAGUGGGGGAUAACGUGGGGAAACUCACGCUAAUACCGCAUACGCCCUACGGGGGAAAGCGGGGGACUUUCGGGCCUCGCGCUAAUAGAUGAGCCUAUGUUGGAUUAGCUAGUUGGUAGGGUAAAGGCCUACCAAGGCGACGAUCCAUAGCUGGUCUGAGAGGAUGAUCAGCCACACUGGGACUGAGACACGGCCCAGACUCCUACGGGAGGCAGCAGUGGGGAAUAUUGGACAAUGGGCGAAAGCCUGAUCCAGCAAUACCGCGUGUGUGAAGAGGGCCUGAGGGUUGUAAAGCACUUUCAAUGGGAAGGAAUACCUACCGGCCAAUACCCGGUAGACUGACAUUACCCAUACAAGAAGCACCGGCUAACUCCGUGCCAGCCGCCGCCGUAACAC
rnacentral:rRNA from 1 species